rnacentral:rRNA from 1 species
CAAGCAAAAUGAAUUUUAGUUUGAACCCCCGAAACUAAGCGAGCUACUUCGAAAUGUUUUACGAACAAACCCGUCUCUGUCGCAAUAGAGUGGGACAAUUUCCAAGUAGCGGCAACAAACCUACCGCGCUUAAAGAUAGCUGGUUACUCAAGAACAGAAUAUAAGUUCAACCUUAAGCUUCCCAAUUACAUAAGAAGACCAAAAAACUUAAGAGCUAUUCAAAUAAGGCACAGCUUAUUUGAAGCAGGCUUCAACCUCUACGACCGGGUAAAACAUAAGAACAGAUAACAAGUGGGCCUAAAAGCAGUCACCUUCUAAAAAGCGUUAAAGCUUAAUUUUCUUCUAUUUUAAUACCUUUAUUCACCUUCAACCCACCCCCAGUAUUGAGUAACUCCAUAUCCCUAUGGAAAAUAUUAUGCUAGAACUAGUAACAAGAAAACCUUCUCCAAAAUGUAAGCCUAAGCCACAAUAGACAACCCUACCGGCAGUUAACGUAAAUGAUUAUCUUAUAGUACCUUAAACAAGAACACCCUAUAAAUUUUAACGUUAACCUUACACUAGCACAUUAACGGAAAGAUAAAAGAAAAAGAAGGAACUCGGCAAAACUAUACCC